GAUGAACGCUGGCGGCGUGCCUAAUACAUGCAAGUCGAGCGAACAGAUGAGGAGCUUGCUCCUCUGACGUUAGCGGCGGACGGGUGAGUAACACGUGGAUAACCUCCCUAUAAGACUGGGAUAACUUCGGGAAACCGGAGCUAAUACCGGAUAAUCUAUUGAACCGCAUGGUUCAAUAGUGAAAGUCGGUUUUGCUGUCAGUUAUGGAUGGAUCCGCGCCGCAUUAGCUAGUUGGUAAGGUAACGGCUUACCAAGGCAACGAUGCGUAGCCGACCUGAGAGGGUGACCGGGCACAUGGCGCAUGCGGGAGGGCCCAGCGGGGUACGGGAGGAAGUGGUGGGGAAUAUUGCACAAUGGGAGGAAGCGGGAUGAAGAAAUGCCGAGUGCGGGAUGACGGGUUUCGGGUUGUAAACAGAUGUGGCCUGAGACGAAGAGGGAGUGACGGUAAUGGGUAAAAAAGCAACGGCUAACUACGUG
rnacentral:rRNA from 1 species